rnacentral:rRNA from 1 species
AGCAGCCGCGGUAAUUCCAGCUCCAAUAGCGUAUAUUAAAGUUGUUGCAGUUAAAAAGCUCGUAGUUGAAUUUCGGGGUUAGCAGGUCGGUCGUGCCAUCGGUAUGAACUGGUCUCGCUGAUCCCUCCCUCUUGACGAACUGUGAUGCCAUUAAUUUGGUGUCGCAGGGAAUCAGGACUGUUACUUUGAAAAAUUAGAGUGUUUAAAGCAGGCUCACGCUUGAAUACAUUAGCAUGGAAUAAUGAAAUAGGACGUUUGAUCCUAUUUUGUUGGCUUCUAGGAUUGACGUAAUGAUUAAUAGGGAUAGUUGGGGGCAUUAGUAUUCAAUUGUCAGAGGUGAAAUUCUUGGAUUUAUUGAAGACUAACUACUGCGAAAGCAUUUGCCAAGGAUGUUUUCAUUAAUCAAGAACGAAAGUUAGGGGAUCGAAGACGAUCAGAUACCGUCGUAGUCUUAACCAUAAACUAUGCCUACUAGGGAUCGGAUGAUGUUAAUUUUUAAUGA